AUUUAAUGGGUUCCACACAGGAUGAUGAAAAGUUCUGAAGAUGGAGGUGGUAGUGGUUGCACAACACUGUAAAUGUACUUAAGGAUACUUAACUGUACAUUUAAAAAUGGCUGGCCAGGAACAGUGGCUCAGUCAGCUUUAAACAUACAGCCAAGUACAGAGAACAUCAAUGCUAUAUCACCAAGAUACAAAUGGCAAUUACAGACUUUCCUUCUUUUCUUACCUCUUCUUCGUUCCCAUACUAGCAGAUCUAACAAAUUCAGAAAUGUGAAAGGACAAAAAAAACACAAAAAAAACAAAAAAAAACUAGGUAGGGUAAGAGAAGCAAACUACACCCAACUUGCAACAAG
rnacentral:lncRNA from 10 species